UUGAAGAAGACUUUGAACUAGUGACAGUGGCAACCGCGGUGACUCAGGUUUGUGUGACCCUUAGAGGCUGAAGGAGUCUGGAAGUAACCAGCUGCUAAUGGUAUUGGUUCAGCAGCUCAAUGGAAUCACAUCUGCAAGAUGACUGCCUCAGCUUCAGCCAUCCCAUCCUUUUCCAAGGCAGGAAAAAUGAGGCAUUCACCUUCACUACAAGGAUGGGGUUAGAAACUCUUAGAUCAUGGCAGAGUUUG